UACAGAGGGGGCAAGCGUUGUUCGGAAUUACUGGGCGUAAAGGGCGCGUAGGCGGCCUUCUAAGUCGAACGUGAAAUCCCCAGGCUCAACCUGGGAACUGCAUCCGAUACUGGAUGGCUUGAAUCCGGGAGAGGGAUGCAGAAUUCCAGGUGUAGCGGUGAAAUGCGUAGAUAUCCGGAGGAAUACCGGUGGCGAAGGCGGCAUCCUGGACCGGCAUUGACGCUGAGGAGCGAAAGCUAGGGGAGCAAACGGG
rnacentral:rRNA from 1 species